rnacentral:lncRNA from 1 species
CAUGACCUACAAGAAUGAGAGAAAUUUUAGCAAACAUCCCAAGCAUCAGCUGUUUCAAAAUAUCUUUACAACUUUAGGGCGAGAAUCUGAACACUCUUCAGUUGGAAGUUUAUCUGGUGCAAAUGCAGCAGGGAGAAUCCAGGAUCUUCAUUUGUCAGAUGAACUGAGUCCUGAUGAGAUACAAGAAAGUAUUUUCUCACUUCAAGCAGGUAUAUCAGGUCUAAUAUUUAUAAGGUCUAAUAUUCUGUUAUGUCUUUACAUACAGUUGUGCAAAAGGAUUCAAAAUAUUGCAAAAUUGUCAAUUUUUAUACCUGCUUUAGGGAGUAGGAGAAUCAAAUUCAAUUUUUUUAUUUGCAGAUGUGUGAUACCAGCAUGUAUUUUCAGAAAGUAUUCUUUUGUUAGAAAGAAGCAAAGCAUGAAGUAUUAA